rnacentral:piRNA from 1 species
UCCAAGAGAACAAUCUUAUGCCUACCCACA